rnacentral:rRNA from 1 species
GAUGAAUGCUGGCGGCGUGCCUAACACAUGCAAGUCGAGCGGUAACAGAUCUAGCUUGCUAGAUGCUGACGAGCGGCGGACGGCUGAGUAACGCGUGGGAACAUACCCCAAAGUGAGGGAUAACCGCCCGAAAGGGUGGCUAAUACCGCAUAUGGUCUUCGGAUUAAAGGAUUUAACCGCUUUGGGAAUGGCCUGCGUACGAUUAGAUAGUUGGUGAGGUAAUGGCUUACCAAGUCUACGAUCGUUAACUGGUUUGAGAGGAUGAUCAGUCAGACUGGAACUGAGACACGGUCCAGACUCCUACGGGAGGCAGCAGUGAGGAAUCUUCCACAAUGGGCGAAAGCCUGAUGGAGCAACGCCGCGUGCAGGAUGAAGGCCUUCGGGUUGUAAACUGCUUUUAUAAGUGAAGAAUAUGACGGUAACUUAUGAAUAAGCACCGGCUAACUACGUGCCAGCAGCCGCCGCC